UACGGGGGGAGCAAGCGUUGUUCGGAUUUACUGGGCGUAAAGGGCGCGUAGGCGGCACUGCAAGUCAGUUGUGAAAUCUCCGGGCUUAACCCGGAGAGGUCAACUGAUACUGCAGGGCUAGAGUGCAGAAGGGGCAACUGGAAUUCUCGGUGUAGCGGUGAAAUGCGUAGAUAUCGAGAGGAACACCUGCGGCGAAGGCGGGUUGCUGGGCUGACACUGACGCUGAGGCGCGAAAGCCAGGGGAGCGAACGGG
rnacentral:rRNA from 1 species